rnacentral:rRNA from 1 species
UACGAAGGGGGCUAGCGUUGCUCGGAAUCACUGGGCGUAAAGGGUGCGUAGGCGGGUCUUUAAGUCAGAGGGGAAAUCCCGGAGCUCAACUCCAGAACUGCCUUUGAUACUGAGGAUCUUGAGUUCGGGAGAGGUGAGUGGAACUGCGAGUGUAGAGGUGAAAUUCGUAGAUAUUCGCAAGAACACCAGUGGCGAAGGCGGCUCACUGGCCCGAUACUGACGCUGAGGCACGAAAGCGUGGGGAGCAAACAGG